ACAUCAUAAAUUGAACACACACAAAAACGACAAAACAUCUUUUUCAUUGAAGUGGGUCUUUAAAUGUACUAAUGAAUCGAUUUUGGAGGACAAGUUCUGUGUAGGGAUCUAUGUGGGUAGUUAAAUGAGACUAAACGAGGUGGGUUGUGUUUUGAUGCAUACUUCCAUGUUUCAUGACUCAUUAUACAGCUUCAGACGAGCCUGUAGAAAGCUACUACAGAGCAGAUCAUGUAGGCUGAGUGGCAGAAAGCUGGUGACACCUAGUUUCUGUCAUUCUGCUCCUGCAUUAACUCACACAAGAAAUAAGCUCAGCUUUUGCUUGUUCCCUUUUUGAUCAAACAUCUGAAGUUUAUUCUGUCAAACUGGCAGCGUUUUGGUGUAAGUCCUCAAAAUGACCUGCAGCAGGCAUGCCGUGGCUGCAGGGUUUCUGCUAUGCCUCCCCCUCCUCACACUCGCCCCCCGUGUCAGUCGCUGUCACCCCCAGCAGCUUCUCAGUUCAGCUCUGAUGUCCGACUCUGCAUGACAGACUCCUGCUGGCAGGCGGCGGUAGCGUGGAGAGAGACUGUGCCAGCCUGAGACGGCAGAGGCAAGCCAACAUGAGGAAGACGAAGGUGAAGAGGCCAGAGAAGGAGACGGCAACGACUGCUAUAGAGGAAGGCCAAGACAGCUCGCUCAGGGGAGCCCCGUCUGCAACAAAGGAGGACAAAGGCAGAGAGGAUGAGCUCCGACAGCUAACAGCAAGGUCAUGCAGGAGAUCGAAACAAAAAAAACAGUUUAUACAGACACAGAUUGUUUUUUGGCUUUUUCACUGUCAGCUUGAUGGAAGAAAUAUGUCUUGUCAUUGGCAUCUUCUCUAGAUUUUCAGUCAUUUCUAAGGCGUUCUUGGGAAAACGAGCACUAAAGCAAGUGUCCUGCAAAGAUUUGAAGCCACAAAAGUUAUGUUGACCAAACACUAAAGAAAACAAUGUUUUUAAAAAAGAAAAGUUUCACAAAUUGUAUAAAGUAUGACUGAUUCAGUUUGCUGCUACUUAAGAAGGUCAAAAAACUGUUUAUGAAGAAGUCAAAGGAUUUACAGCCUCCAACGUUCUGCCAAGAUCAAAGAAAAGUGUGCUGAUGGGUUUCAGAGAGAAAAUCUCAGAGAAUGCAUGAGUAAACACGUAAGCACACACCUGAAUAGGUUGUUCUCAGUGUGUGGCUUUUACUCUCUCUUUACAUCCACACUAACAGGAAGCCACUUAUGCUUUGCUUUUACAACACAUGAAGCAUUAGUCUUCAGUUAUUUAUCCAUAGCUUGACAGAGAUAAUUUAAUUUCUAUCAAACUACUGUCUCAAGAGUUUUUGAAGAGCAAUGAGAAAGGCUCUAUGCUAGCUGAAGGUUCAGAGGCCCAAACCGAACAUAUAGACCUAGUUAGUGGCUUUUAUAGGAGUAUUAUUUAUCAAUGUGAGCUCAGAAUAAUUCAUAGUUUUACUUAUUGCCAAACAGAAUUAAAUAUCUGUAUAUAUGUGGCUGCCCUGGGACACUAAAACAAAAAAAAUGACAUAGGAGGAUGGAAAUGUGACACAAAUAAAGGGGAUGAUGCUGCACAUUCAACUCAGCUUUAACAAAUUACUUGUUGCAAAUACAUUCCACCUUAACAAAACCCUUUUUGGUAAAAAAAAACACUUUGCAGGGCUGCAACUUUGGGUUGUAACGCCGAUUGAACUUUGUUUCUUUUCUUCCUUCAGGCCACAAUAAAGAAAAAAAUGUGUGUUUUCACUCCA